rnacentral:antisense_RNA from 1 species
UGAUCUUCUUCCGAACCUUCGAAUAAAUAGAUUUGAUUAUUUUUCAUAGUGUUGCCCCUAGAUUUAAAACUCUUAAGGCUAUAGAUAGUUUCUCCCCUUUCCCCUAUUUCUUUCCAAUAGCCCCAAACAUCAGUAGAAGCAUUUUUCAGAUAAACAGUUCCAAAUAUAUCGUUAGCUGUUAAUUCUGGCGUUUUACUUUCUUUCUUUCUGGUGUGAUGAGUCAUAAGAACGGCUACUUGUUUAGUAGUGCUAAUCCUUUUGAGCCUAUACAAGAACAAUGCAAAUUCAGCAAUACCCCGCAACUAUUUAGUCAUAGCUUGUAGACAUAGUGCUCUACUAGGUUUGUUAAGUGCUUUGGGAGCACUAGGUCGCAGGUUCGAAUCCAGUCUCACUGGUUUACUCUUCAUGAUUCUUAAAUACUCU